GCAAACUUUCUCUCUCGCACUAUUCCAUGUUCUUCAUUUCAAUCCCAAACAUUAUUUUUUGCUUAUUUUAGUCAUCUUCCUGCUCAGAGAGAUCAAAAUGUUAAUCAGCUCUUUAGGUCUUUCAAUUUGAAGUGUUGCUAUUACGAGUUGUUGUAUCUUGGAAAACGAAUACCAAAGUACUGUCAAUACCAAUGUGGACAUUAUCGUCUUAAGAAAAUAUAGUCUAACGGUUGGCUCCACCAUAUUAAUUUAUCUACUUUAUUCUCUUGUUCGAGUAAGUCGAAACUCUAUUCAAUUUUUCACUUAUCAAAAAAUUAUUUUGAAUAUAUAUAAAUGCAUGGUAAAUUCGUUAUUGCAUUUUCCCAAAAACGUCGAUGUUCCAAGCUUGAUUUUGCUUAGAAAUUGGAGAUUCGAGAGAAAUUGGCAAAGAAAACGUGAAAAGUAAAGAAUGGAUACCUAAUUUUGUAUUCAUUGGAGACUACCAUUAAUUGUGUACACCUAAAUUUUGUAUUAAUUUGAAUCAUCUCUCUUUCACUCAUUUUUAAUUUUCACAGCGCCAUGGCAUGUCAACACCACAUUUCAUCACGUCAGUGGAGAAGACUCUUUCAAGAUCGAAAAAUGGAAUUGAUUAUUAGUAACUUAAAAAGCUUUUAAACUAUUUUCACUUCGAUUGUUUGAUGAAUUAUUUGUAAUCUUUAAAAAUAAACGAAUAUUCAACAAAUAUUCAUGAAAUAUUAAACGGUUAAUGUUUGCCUAUAAAAGUUUUGCAUAAUUCAUCUUUAUGGAAAUGUACCGUCAAAAUUG
rnacentral:lncRNA from 1 species